rnacentral:rRNA from 1 species
GUGGGGAAUUUUGGACAAUGGGCGCAAGCCUGAUCCAGCAAUGCCGCGUGCAGGAAGAAGGCCUUCGGGUUGUAAACUGCUUUUGUACGGAACGAAACGGUCCUGGUUAAUACCUGGGGCUAAUGACCGUAGCAGCAGAAGAAGCACCGGCUAACUACGUGCCAGCAGCCGCGGUAAUACGUAGGGUGCAAGCGUUAAUCGGAAUUACUGGGCGUAAAGCGUGCGCAGGCGGUUUUGUAAGACAGGCGUGAAAUCCCCGGGCUCAACCUGGGAAUGGCGCUUGUGACUGCAAGGCUGGAGUGCGGCAGAGGGGGAUGGAAUUCCGCGUGUAGCAGUGAAAUGCGUAGAUAUGCGGAGGAACACCGAUGGCGAAGGCAAUCCCCUGGGCCUGCACUGACGCUCAUGCACGAAAGCGUGGGGAGCAAACAGGAUUAGAUACCCCGGUAGUCC